ensembl:snRNA U6 U6 spliceosomal RNA
GUGCUCACUUCGGCAGCACAUAUACUAAAAUUGGAAUGAUACAGAGAAGAUUAGCAUGGCCCCUGCACAAGGAUGACACACAACACGAACCCAUGGACACCUUAUCU